rnacentral:rRNA from 1 species
UACGUAGGGAGCAAGCGUUGUCCGGAAUCAUUGGGCGUAAAGCGCGCGUAGGUGGCUCUGUAAGUCCGUUGUGAAAGUCAAAGGCUCAACCUUUGAAAGCCGAUGGAUACUGCAGAGCUAGAGUACGGAAGAGGCGAGUGGAAUUCCUGGUGUAGCGGUGGAAUGCGCAGAUAUCAGGAAGAACACCCGUGGCUAAGGCGGUUCUCUAGUACGGUACUGACGCUGAGACGCGAAAGCGUGGGGAGCGAACAGG